UUAAUUUAUUACUGUAUUUUUGGUUCCCUUCCUAAUUUCCCAGAUUGAAUCAUUCACUAUGAGUUUUAAGAAUGGCUGAUCAAAUGGAGAUGCUCAGCUCUAAGUAAAGCAGACCUUAUGAUGGAGAAGAUAUGUAGGACAACUUGCUGGCACGAUAUUGGGCAUAGCUGGUGCAGCAUAGUAGUGAAAUUCCUUGGCUGAGGCAUUUAAAAAAUGGACAUUGUUGCAAUGUUAUGUGCUGGUGGUCCCUGGUCCUUUACAACCUUGAGAAAGGCUGAGUAAUGAUACAUAAGAAAUUUAUAGCCUCUUUAUUUCUUCUGAGGUUAAUGAAAGUUGCAUUAAACAUGAUGGACACCGCCCACAAUGACAUUGAAUGUGUGAUGAACUUGCCAUCUCAUAAGUGGGACAAGACCAGACAGUUUGUCGGCGAGAUCAGCGAUGUGAUUCAGGCAAAUUAAGGGUGCAAUGAACCAUCUGGAAAUGUUCAGUUCUCAAGUGUACUGACAAGCAAAUAGUUACACUGACAUAAGAUUUUGUUUCAGAUUCUGUAUGACAACGAUGCAAGGAAGUUCAAGUUCUGGAUACACAUCACAGGUGCCCCUUGGCUGCCUGUGGGUGUUCGUGAUGUGGGAGCAGGGUGAGCUCCACACAUAGGUCUAUAUUGUGAACCAAAACCGAGUGACACGGGCCUUAAAAAGAAGCUGAGUGACCUCUGCGACGAGGUGCGGUUGCACUGGAAGAAUGCCAUCAAGUAUGGCUUAUUUCCCAACUCAAGAUACCUCUGUCACAAAAAAAGGGAAUUCAAAUAGCUCAGCUUAAUAUUGGUUCCAUUUUGCACAGGGUAAAGCAGUGAGGAGACUGUCGUUGAGCUCAACACAAGGAGUGGACAAGCUGAAGAAUGAGCCUUGGUUUCCAAGCUUAUGGAGAAGAACGUUGUUAGGCUUCUUGGUGUCUGCUUGG